rnacentral:rRNA from 2 species
AGCGGGAGGGCCGCCGUAGUCGUUAUCCUAACCUGCAAGGAAGGAGAUGCCGAAGGUGGGGCUGAUGACUGGGGUGAAGUCGUAACAAGGUAGCCGUACCGGAAGGUGUGGCUGGAUCACCUC